CAAUAGCGUAUAUUUAAGUUGUUGCAGUUAAAAAGCUCGUAGUUGGAUUUCGGUUGAGAGCGGCCGGUCCGCCGUUUGGUGUGCACUGGCUGGUUUCAACUUCCUGUAGAGGACGCGCUUUGGGCUUAACGGUCUGAACGUGGAGUCUACGUGGUUACUUUGAAAAAAUUAGAGUGUUCAAAGCAGGCUUAUGCCGUUGAAUAUAUUAGCAUGGAAUAAUAAGAUAGGACUUUGGUACUAUUUUGUUGGUUUGCGCACCAAAGUAGUGAUUAAUAGGGACAGUUGGGGGUAUUCGUAUUCCGUUGUCAGAGGUGAAAUUCUUGGAUUUACGGAAGACGAACUACUGCGAAAGCAUUUACCAAGGAUGUUUUCAUUAA
rnacentral:rRNA from 1 species